UAGUCCACGCCGUAAACGAUGGGUACUAGGCGUCGGGGGGAGCGACCCCUUCGGUGCCGUCGCUAACGCAGUAAGUACCCCGCCUGGGGAGUACGGCCGCAAGGCUGAAACUCAAAGGAAUUGACGGGGCCCGCACAAGCGGUGGAGCAUGUGGUUUAAUUCGAUGCAACGCGAAGAACCUUACCUGGACUUGACAUGUAUAUGUAAGCCUGCAGAAACGUAGGCCCCUCUUCGGAGCAUAUUCACAGGUGCUGCAUGGCUGUCGUCAGCUCGUGUCGUGAGAUGUUGGGUUAAGUCCCGCAACGAGCGCAACCCUUGCUCCCAGUUGCCAGCGGAUAACGCCGGGGACUCUGGGGGGACUGCCGGUGUCAAACCGGAGGAAGGUGGGGAUGACGUCGAGUCAUCAUGGCCCUUACGUCCAGGGCUACACACGUGCUACAAUGGCCGGUACAGAGCGUCGCCAACUCGCGAGAGUGAGCUAAUCGCAGAAAGCCGGUCUAAGUUCGGAUUGC
rnacentral:rRNA from 1 species